CUUUCCUUCUCUCCCACUAGGGUUCUUCUUUUCCAGAAUGGGGGGCGGCGGCGGCGGCGGCGGCAGCGCGGAGCUAGAGCUAUGGAUGGACGCCGCCACACUUCCGCGAAUCUCCAGCGGCAGCUAGACGAGGUGGAGGCUUUGCGGUCUAUAUACUCUGGCCAGGGAGAGUUUGAGACUGGCUAUGGUGGCUCUGUCUCGUUCACUGUCCACCUUAAGUUGCUUGAGAGUUUAAGCAUCCAGUUCACCUUCCCGGACGACUAUCCAGAGAGCCAAGCGGUGGCUGUCAACGUGAGAUGCCAUGGAAGCGUUGCAAGAGAUCAACUUGACAGCUUAAAUCGAGCGGCAGCCAGCGUUGCCGAGGGAGCUCUUGGACAGGAAUCGACUCUUUUAGUGCUACAAAAAGUACAGGACUUGGCUUGGCGGAUAUCAGAAAGCGAUCAAACCACUCAAUCCUCGAACGCCUCAUCGAUGUCUGGAGCGUCACAACUCCUAAAGAGAAAACUCUUUUGGUUUCAUCAUAUCAAGUCCACGCGGAAAAGGAAAUGUAUCGUGGAGUGGGGAAAGGAACUUCGUGUGGGUGGCUACUGCAAGCCUGGCUUUCCUGGUAUUCUAAUCAUUGAGGCUGAAGACACAAAUAUUACCGAAUAUGUGAAGAGAGUUCGUCACUUGAGAUGGCAAGCUAUGAAUUUGCGGGCUCUCGAGGAGGAGCAGUGUCCUGCUGGCCGCAACAUUGACGAGCUGCGCCGGUUCAAGACGACUCAAAUCGAAGAGCUCGGCGAGACUGACAUGUCGAAGCUCGCAGCACUUUGUCGAGAAGCGGCACUAGAACAUAUGUUCCUGAGCGCGCUAAAGAUUGGGAGUGGUCACUGAAUCCAUGCCUUCAAAGUAGUGCUUACAAUGGCUUGCGAUGGGUCAAGUAAAGCUCCAUUCUCGCUCCAACUAGGAGGCCACGAAUUCCUUGUAAAAUCGAUGGUAAACCCAUGCCCCGACUUGUAAUGGCCCCAACCAUUGAACGACAUAAACUUCGAAGCACUGUAAGCUUUCGGUGAAAUAGCUGAAGCGUUUGAUAUGUUGGGCUGAACGGCCUUAAGACUAUACCUAGCACCAGCAGCUCUGCAUGAAUCUGAGAUUUGAAACCGUGCCAGUAGCAAGAUCGUAAAAGCCGGAAAAACUAGAGCUUGGUACAUAGCUUGCUGCCUCUAGAUUUUAUUUUCCAUGUCCUAACAUUCAUCGCGAGAAAUGGAAGUUUGCAUCGAUGGAUAAACUUUA